UACGGAGGGUGCUAGCGUUGUUCGGAAUCACUGGGCGUAAAGCGCGUGUAGGCGGCCCAUCAAGUCUGAUGUGAAAGCCCGGGGCUCACCCCCGGAAGUGCAUUGGAAACUGUUGGGCUCGAGUCCCGGAGAGGAGGGUGGAAUUCCUGGUGUAGCGGUGAAAUACGUAGAUAUCAGGAGGAAUACCGGUGGCGAAGGCGGCUAUCUGGCCAUGUACUGACGCUGAGACACGAAAGCGUGGGGAGCAAACAGG
rnacentral:rRNA from 1 species